rnacentral:ncRNA from 2 species
UAGGGCGCAUGGUGGAUGCCUUGGCAUGCUGAGCCGAUGAAGGACGUGUAAGGCUGCGUUAAGCCUCGGGGAGUUGUCAAUAAAGCGUUGAUCCGAGGAUGUCCGAAUGGGGAAACCUGGCCCUGGUUAUGUGGGGUUACCCUUCAGUGAAU